CCUACGGGUGGCAGCAGUGAGGAAUAUUGGUCAAUGGACGUGAGUCUGAACCAGCCAAGUAGCGUGAAGGAUGACUGCCCUAUGGGUUGUAAACUUCUUUUAUAUGGGAAUAAAAUGCUCCACGUGUGGGGUUUUGUAUGUACCUUAUGAAUAAGGAUCGGCUAACUCCGUGCCAGCAGCCGCGGUAAUACGGAGGAUCCGAGCGUUAUCCGGAUUUAUUGGGUUUAAAGGGUGCGUAGGUGGAUUGUUAAGUCAGUUGUGAAAGUUUGCGGCUCAACCGUAGAAUUGCAGUUGAAACUGGGAGGCUUGAGUACGGUAGAGGUAGGCGGAAUGCGUGGUGUAGCGGUGAAAUGCUUAGAUAUCACGAAGAACUCCGAUUGCGAAGGCAGCUCACUGGGCUGCGACUGACGCUGAGGCACGAAAGUGUGGGGAUCAAACAGGAUUAGAUACCCUGGUAGUC
rnacentral:rRNA from 1 species